rnacentral:rRNA from 1 species
UACGGGGGGGGCAAGCGUUGUUCGGAAUUACUGGGCGUAAAGGGCUCGUAGGUGGCCAACUAAGUCAGACGUGAAAUCCCUCGGCUUAACCGGGGAACUGCGUCUGAUACUGGAUGGCUUGAGGUUGGGAGAGGGAUGCGGAAUUCCAGGUGUAGCGGUGAAAUGCGUAGAUAUCUGGAGGAACACCGGUGGCGAAGGCGGCAUCCUGGACCAAUUCUGACGCUGAGGCACGAAGGCCAGGGGAGCAAACGGG